AUCAAAGAUUUUAUCGCUUGAAGAUGGACUCGCGUCCGAUUAGUUAGUUGGUGAGGUAACGGCUCACCAAGACCGCGAUCGGUAGCCGGACUGAGAGGUUGAACGGCCACAUUGGGACUGAGACACGGCCCAGACUCCUACGGGAGGCAGCAGUGGGGGAUAUUGCGCAAUGGGGGCAACCCUGACGCAGCAACGCCGCGUGAAGGAUGAAGGUUUUCGGAUUGUAAACUUCUUUUAUUAAGGACGAAAAUUGACGGUACUUAAUGAAUAAGCUCCGGCUAACUACGUGCCAGCAGCCGCGGUAAUACGUAGGGAGCAAGCGUUGUCCGGAUUUACUGGGUGUAAAGGGUGCGUAGGCGGCUUUGCAAGUCAGAUGUGAAAUCUAUGGGCUCAACCCAUAAACUGCAUUUGAAACUGUAGAGCUUGAGUGAAGUAGAGGCAGGUGGAAUUCCCCGUGUAGCGGUGAAAUGCGUAGAGAUGGGGAGGAACACCAGUGGCGAAGGCGGCCUGCUGGGCUUUAACUGACGCUGAGGCACGAAAGCGUGGGUAGCAAACAGGAUUAGAUACCCUGGUAGUCCACGCUGUAAACGAUGAUUACUAGGUGUGGGGGGUCUGACCCCUUCCGUGCCGGAGUUAACACAAUAAGUAAUCCACCUGGGGAGUACGGCCGCAAGGUUGAAACUCAAAGGAAUUGACGGGGGCCCGCACAAGCAGUGGAGUAUGUGGUUUAAUUAGAAGCAACGCGAAGAACCUUACCAGGUCUUGACAUCCAACUAACGAAGUAGAGAUACAUUAGGUGCCCUUCGGGGAAAGUUGAGACAGGUGGUGCAUGGUUGUCGUCAGCUCGUGUCGUGAGAUGUUGGGUUAAGUCCCGCAACGAGCGCAACCCUUGCUAUUAGUUGCUACGCAAGAGCACUCUAAUAGGACUGCCGUUGACAAAACGGAGGAAGGUGGGGAGGACGUCAAAUCAUCAUGCCCCUUAUGACCUGGGGUACACACGUACUACAAUGGAUGUUAACAGAGGGAAGCAAGACAGUGAUGUGGAGCAAACCCCUAAAAACAUUCUCAGUUCAGAUUGCAGGCUGCAACCCGCCUGCAUGAAGAUGGAAUUGCUAGUAAUCGCGGAUCAGCAUGCCGCGGUGAAUAAAUUCCCGGGCCUUGCACU
rnacentral:rRNA from 1 species